rnacentral:rRNA from 1 species
CCUACGGGGGGCAGCAGUGGGGAAUAUUGCACAAUGGGGGAAACCCUGAUGCAGCGACGCCGCGUGAAUGAUGAAGUACUUCGGUAUGUAAACUUCUGUCAGCAGGGAAGAUAAUGACGGUACCUGACGAGGAAGCCACGGCUAACUACGUGCCAGCAGCCGCGGUAAUACGUAGGGGGCAAGCGUUAUCCGGAUUUACUGGGUGUAAAGGGAGCGUAGGCGGACUUGUAAGUCAGAAGUGAAAGCCCCGGGCUCAACUUCGGUGCUGCUUUUGAAACUGUUAGACUAGAUUGCAGGAGAGGAGAAUGGAAUUCCUAGUGUAGCGGUGAAAUGCGUAGAGAUUAGGAAGAACACCAGUGGCGAAGGCGACUCUCUGGACUGUAAAUGACGCUGAGGCUCGAAAGCGUGGGGAGCAAACAGGAUUAGAUACCCGAGUAGUC